UAUUAAAAAUUUCUAUCUAUUUUUAUUGUUAAAAAUGACGUGACAAAUAGAAUAACUAGACAAUUUCAUGUGAGAGUGUCAUGCGUUACUCAUGUUGGUGUAAACGGACUAAUUUUUAAUGUAGAAAUUGAUGAAAUUUUUAACA
rnacentral:pre_miRNA from 1 species